rnacentral:lncRNA from 10 species
UGGAGGAAGAUUUGUCCUCAUGUCAGCUGCCCUGUUUCAGCUCCAGAAUUGCCAGCAAAGACUUUGCUCCUCGGUCCCUCUGGGUAGCAGAUGCCAUGCUUUCUCUCCCUCUCUCAUCCUCUCAACCUGGUUUGCUUUUGAAAAGGUUUGUAAACUUUGUUUAGCUUCUCCCUACAAACCUUUGUUUGACUUUGUAUAUGCAAAGGAAGAAAGCCGUUCACCUACCAUAUACGUGAUAACUUUUCUUGAUUAUUUCUGGAUGGACGUGGAAAAUGAUCUGGCAAAAACUUCUUGUUGUCAGUGUCUUCAAGGAUCAUGGCAGAACCAGUGAGGAAUAUUUUUGGUGGCUGGAACUUUCUUUUGCCUUUAAAUCACGCUGUUGAGGUGGGUAGUCUGCAAGGGACUAGCUGUCAGACACUGCAUAUUUUGCUAAUUGAGAAAACAUUCUGACUAAACUCAGUCCCUGAAAUAGGGCCUUGAGUCCAAUCAUUUUUGGUGAUAGAGAAGUUGAAUUCAAGGUCAAAACAAUGGAGAGUGAUAGUUACUCCCUUUGUUUCUAAGGUCUCUGGUCUGGACAUUUCUAGAAGAUGCUUUACCACUCAUCUAGGAUAAUCUUCAUGUCUUACCAGAAGAAUACCACCUACCAAGCUCAACUACUACGUCAGCAAGAUCUUCUGUUAGGACAUGGAACUUGAGCAGCAGAAACAGGACCGAAACCUGGCUCUUCCCUUAUGCCACAGUCUUUCUAUAGAGAAGUUAAGUAAGAGGGCUUUGGGUCAAGAUGGUGACUGGAUUCAAAUCCUAAAGUUUUCACUACAUUGUGUGCCCGUGGCCAAACUUCUUCAGCUUUUGCUAACUCCUAAAGCCACUACAGCAUUCCAACUGAUUCCAUCCAACAGUCCGGUGAUCCAGCUCUCUGUGAGAUUGCUAAUGACAGAAUCACCAUCUCCCAUGGCCACUCUUCAACCCCCUCCUGUGAUGGUUCUGGUCGCUUUGAUGCUUUGGCUAUUCUUUCCUUUUGAAACUUUCUCCUAAUUUGGCUUUUGUGACGCUGCACUCUCGCAGCCUAAUUCUAAUUAUUAAAUUGUUUCUUCUCAGCCCCCAUCGCUAGAUUUUCUUCUAACCACUUCUUAAAUAUUCGUGUUCUGGAUUCUACCCUCAGCCUAUUCUCCUCCCUUCUUUCUGGUUUUAACUGCAGUCCAUCAAGAAUGCCCAAAUCUGUAUAUCCAUCUCCAAACUUGAGAUCCAGUUUUAUAUUUUGAAUUGUUCACUUGGCAUUUCCACCUACUUUUCUUUUAAAUAACUCAAACUCUGUAAGUUCCAACUGAAAUUAUUGUCCAAAUGUCAGAAUUCUGAUUUUCGUCAUCUAUUUCCUGUCUCAAUUAGCAAUCUAUCCUUAGCCCAGUCAUCCAAGGUAGAUAUUUGUGAAAAAUUCUUUCUGUCAUUUUUCUCUCUCAAUCCCUACAUAAAUAAACCACCAUGUUUGUAAUUAGUACCAAUUAAAUAAUUGUCAAAUUACCCUCUGUUCUCCAUUUUGUUGAAGUAGGUUUAGUUUGGACCCUCAUUUUCUUUUUUUUCCUAGAAUAUUUUUUAUAUCUUCAUAAAUAGGUCCUCUGUCUAAGAUCUGGACAUCCCUCUUGUCUGUUAUUCACACUGCUGCUGUAGUCAUCACACUGUUAUCAAUACUAUAUAUAGCACAAUUCAAAGAGCAUUUCCUGAUUAGGAUGGCAGCAUGAGCAUAGCUGUCUAAAUCCUCAAUUAACAUCUUCCUAUUGAAAUUCAAGAAUAGUUUAACCCCAGCAUCAGUACUAGAAACUAUAGAAGGGUGCCAUUGACCUGUCACAACACUCAAGAGAUUCCUAAUAGUUUUAGGGCAAAUGGAGCCAUGUUGUGGAAAAAGUCAAGAGAACCUGCUCUUAUGAAAUAACAGAGGAGACCAGGCGCAGUGGCUCAUGCCUGUAAUCCCUGCACUUUGGGAGGCCAAGUGGUUCACCUGAGGUCAGAAGUUUGAGACCAGCCUGGCCAACAUGAUGAAAACCCAAUUCUAC